rnacentral:lncRNA from 1 species
CUCAGGACACAGCAUGGACAUGAAGGUCCCACCCAGCUCCUAGGGCUCCUGCUGCUCUGCCUCCCAGGUAAGGAGGGACAAUCCUGGGGAUGUGCUCAGCACAGUGUGGUCAGUGCUGCCUGGCUAUUUAGGGAAAUCCUCUUAUGACACUAUUAAUUAUGCAUACAUUUAUUUACAUUUGUCUAACUUCAGGUGCAGAUGUGACAUCACAAUGACCCAGUCUCCAUCCUACCUGUCUACAUCUUGAGAAGAAAAAAUCACCAUCACAUGCCGGCAAGUCAGGGCAUUAGCAGUUACUUAAACUGGUACCAGCAAAAAACAGGUCAAGCUUCUAAGUGUCUCAAUUAUGGUGCAUCCAAUCUGCAAUCUGGUGUCCCCAUAAGGUUCAGUGGCAGUGGAGCUGGGACGGAUUUCACUCUCACCAUCAGCAGCCUGGAGCCUGAAAAUGUUGCCACUUAUUACUGUCUACAGUAUAUCAGUUGGCCACCCACAGUGACACAGGCCAUGACAAAAAACUC